rnacentral:rRNA from 1 species
UACGAAGGUCCCAAGCGUUGUUCGGAAUCACUGGGCGUAAAGGGUGCGUAGGCGGUUAGGUAAGUCAGAUGUGAAAUCCCGGGGCUCAACCCCGGAACUGCAUCCGAUACUGCUUGACUUGAGGACUGGAGAGGUGACUGGAAUUCUCGGUGUAGCAGUGAAAUGCGUAGAUAUCGGGAGGAACACCGGUGGCGAAGGCGGUUCUCUGGGCCUUACCUGACACUGAGGAGCGAAAGCGUGGGGAGCGAACAGG